GCCUCUCGAGAAAACAGAAACACUUCGAGACAAUCCUUCAUAAAGUAUUCCAGCACCUCUUGGAAGACUUAAUGACAAGGAACUUUCUUUCCCUUAGCUAAUCACCUUUAAAUCCUGUUAAAAAGCAUUAAUUACAAGACUGGCAUGAACAGCACGAGGCUGAAUAAAGGAUAGACAGAAUCCAAACAUCUUGCCUUCUGCAGGGAGGAAACAGGCCCCUGGCUCAUAGCUUUCACCUAUCAAACACCUCCAAAACAAUCUAUGUUCAUUUAUUCUUUCCUCAGUAAAGCAUCCGCUGGCAGCUGCCUGCACAUUCUGUCAACCAUCGAGAGUCAAAAUCCACGGAAGCCAAUAGCCAGGCUCCUGCCAACAGUACCAAGCUUUGGACCAGACCCACCCUUUCCCCAGAAUGUGGAAUUCACUUUGAACAGUCACACAUUCUGGAGUACCUCAUCAAAGGGUUUUGUGAUGCUGGUUUCCAACUGCCAGUCCAUGGUCCGCCACACCUUCAAACUUCGAUCAUCAGCCUGAGAGGCAAUAUAUUUCCCAACAGGAUCCCAGGUCAGCCCUUUCACCAAGCCAGAAUGCCCCUUCAAAGUGGCAAGAAUUUCUGCGCACACAAACAUUGAGAACAAGGAAUAGUUGCUGAUAUCUCCUUUAUGACAAACUGCUGAGGAGAUCUACAAGAUCUUUUGGAAACAGCAUUAUUAAAUAUAACUUCCUUUAAUGUACAAACAACAACAUAAGGAGUGCAAAGUUCUUUAUAAGAAACAGAUCAGAGCAGAAACACCAGCAGAACCCCAGGUGUUCAGAAUAGCACAUGCAAGCUAUGGAAAGUAGCAGUUUAACUGGAACUUCAGUUAAACAUUCAUCCUCUCCCCCGCACCCAAAGAUUAUCACAACAAAUUCAGCUUUGUGCAGCAAAUGUGAACUAAGCCAAAGUUGUAGCUGAACAGACAUACAAGCCUGGCAGACCUGGUAACCUACUUUCAGUCAAUCUCCUCCCAAUCGGACUAUGAGAGAAGAGGCUGCGAGUACUGCACAAGCUACACAGCUAGUGUGAAUGUCUAAAAACUCUGGUAUCUGGAUUGUAAGCAACACUAAAACAUAACACAGUGACUAGGCACCACAGAAUGGGAGUUUUAGCCUGCAUCAAGUUAUGUGGUGAGAAGCAGCCAGAUAAAAGCACAUGCUCCCUAACUGCCACAGACCCUCACAGGUCAGCUAAAGCUGUCCAGUGUGCUGGCUGCUUAUCCCUGAGAAACAGACUUUGGGACUGUGUGAUCUGCCAGCACUGCAGCAAUGGAAGAAGGAAAAUGGCCAUCAAAUGUAAGACUUGAGAGCUUCUGCUACUGUGAGGCUCCACUAGUCCUUCCCUUCACCCUGUAAAGUCCCACUGCUUAUUAAGCAGCAGCAGUUAAAAUGGGCUAAAUAAAAUAAUGCCACCCCAAAGGUGAAUGAAUGUGAAGUCUUGUGAGUACAAAGGCAACAGGGGAAAAAAAACAAAACAACCAUAUAUGCAUAUAUAGAUGUA